rnacentral:rRNA from 1 species
AUUGAACGCUGGCGGCAGGCCUAACACAUGCAAGUCGAGCGGGGGCUUCGGUCCUAGCGGCGAACGGGUAAGGAAUGCUUGGGAAUCUGCCCAGUAGCGGGGGAUAACGUUUCGAAAGGAACGCUAAUACCGCAUACGCCCUACGGGGGAAAGGGGGGGAUCUUCGGACCUCUCACUAUUGGAUGAGCCCAAGUCGGAUUAGCUAGUGGGUGGGGUAAAGGCCUACCAAGGCGACGAUCCGUACCUGGUCUGAGAGGAUGAUCAGCCACACUGGAACUGAGACGCGGUCGAGACUCCUAUGGGAGGCAGCAGUGGGGGAUAUUGGACAAUGGGCGAAAGCCUGAGCCAACCAUGCCGCGGGGGUGAAGAAGGCCUUCGGGUUGUAAAGCACUUUAAGCGAGGAGGAAUGGCUGAGGGUUAAUAACCUUCAGCGGUGACGUUACUCGCAGAAUAAGCACCGGCUAACUCUGUGUCAUCAGCCGCCGUAA